rnacentral:rRNA from 1 species
GACGAACGCUGGCGGCGUGCUUAACACAUGCAAGUCGAACGGAAAGGCCCUGCUUGCAGGGUGCUCGAGUGGCGAACGGGCGAGUAACACGUGGGUGAUCUGCCCCCUACUUUGGGAUAAGCCUGGGAAACUGGGUCUAAUACUGGAUAGGACCAUGCUGUAGGUGGUGUGGUGGAAAGAUUAGUUUCGGUAAGGGAUGAGCUCGCGGCCUAUCAGCUUGUUGGUGGGGUAAUGGCCGACCAAAGCGUCGACGGGUAGCCGGCCUGAGAGGGUGGACGGCCACAUUGGGACUGAGAUACGGCCCAGACUCCUACAGGAGGCAGCAGUGGGGGAUAGUGCACAAUGGGCGCAAGCCUGAUGCAGCGACGCCGCGUGGGGGAUGACGGCCUUCGGGUUGUAAACUCCUUUCGGCCAUGACGAAGCCCUUGUGGUGACGGUAGUGGUAGAAGAAGCACCGGCUAACUACGUG